rnacentral:rRNA from 1 species
GGGAGUGAAAUAGAACCUGAAACCCUGCACUUACAAGCUGUGGAAGCACAUUUCUUGUGUGACCGCGUACUUUUUGUAGAACGGGCCAACGAGUUACGUUAAGUAGCAAGGUUAAGCACUUAAGGUGCGGAGCCGUAGCGAAAGCGAGUUUUAACUGAGCGUUCAGUUACUUGACGUAGACCCGAAACCGGGCGACCUACCCAUGAGCAGGAUGAAGCGAAAGUAAAAUUUCGGGGAGGUCCGAACCCACGAGCGUUGAAAAGCUCGGGGAUGACUUGUGGGUAGCGGUGAAAUUCCAAUCGAGCCCGGAGAUAGCUGGUUCUCCCCGAAAUAGCUUUAGGGCUAGCCUCAAGGUGAGAGAUACGGAGGUAGAGCACUGAAUGUCCUAGGGGGUAUUGCACCUACCGAAGACUAUCAAACUCCGAAUGCCGUCAUCUUAUACUUGGGAGUCAGACUGUGGGUGAUAAGAUUCAUAGUCGAAAGGGCAACAGCCCAGAUCGUCAGCUAAGGUCCCUAAAUGUAAGUUAAGUGGUAAAGGAUGUGGGAUUGCACAGACAACCAGGAUGUUGGCUUAGAAGCAGCCACUCAUUCAAAGAGUGCGUAAUAGCUCACUGGUCGAGUGAUCCUGCGCCGAAGAUUUCCGGGGCUAAAACUUACUACCGAAGCUACGGCAUCAGUAAUGAUGGGUAGGGGAGCUUCCCAUACGGGUUGAAGCAUGACCGUAAGGACAUGUGGACAGUAUGGGAGUGAGAAUGUUGGCAUGAGUAGCGAGAUGUGGGUGAGAAUCCCACAGGCCGUAAACCCAAGGU